rnacentral:rRNA from 1 species
UAUAAGACUGGGAUAACUUCGGGAAACCGGAGCUAAUACCGGAUAAUAUAUUGAACCGCAUGGUUCAAUAGUGAAAGACGGUUUUGCUGUCACUUAUAGAUGGAUCCGCGCCGCAUUAGCUAGUUGGUAAGGUAACGGNUUACCAAGGCAACGAUGCGUAGCCGACCUGAGAGGGUGAUCGGCCACACUGGAACUGAGACACGGUCCAGACUCCUACGGGAGGCAGCAGCC